GACGAACGCUGGCGGCGUGCCUAAUACAUGCAAGUAGAACGCUGAAGGAGGAGCUUGCUUCUCUGGAUGAGUUGCGAACGGGUGAGUAACGCGUAGGUAACCUGCCUGGUAGCGGGGGAUAACUAUUGGAAACGAUAGCUAAUACCGCAUAACAGUAGAUAUCGCAUGAUAUCUACUUGAAAGGUGCAAUUGCAUCACUACCAGAUGGACCUGCGUUGUAUUAGCUAGUUGGUGAGGUAACGGCUCACCAAGGCGACGAUACAUAGCCGACCUGAGAGGGUGAUCGGCCACACUGGGACUGAGACACGGCCCAGACUCCUACGGGAGGCAGCAGUAGGGAAUCUUCGGCAAUGGACGGAAGUCUGACCGAGUAACGCCGCGUGAGUGAAGAAGGGUUUCGGAUCGUAAAGCUCUGUUGUAAGAGAAGAACGAGGGUGAGAGUGGAAAGUUCACACUGUGACGGUAGCUUACCAGAAAGAGACGGCUAACUACGUG
rnacentral:rRNA from 1 species